AAAAUAAUUCCAAACCAAUCAGGAGUAUAAGUUUAAUUAUUGUUAGGCUGGGUUUCAUAAUAGUUACAGAAAUGAAAAUGUGUGGUCUAGUGUCUCCUCAGAGUGCAGGAUAAUGGUUGCUAGGCAGCCUCCUGUUUACAGAGAAAAGAAUUUCUUUAUCUGCAGAUGUCAACAGUGCCUCAUCCUCUUUAUUUCCACCAGAAUUUAUAUGGUGGGCCAGGGCUUGGUGAGCGGUGGUAAUUUCCUGUGCAGUAUAUACUGCCCUACUUGUGAGGAGCAUAUUGCUGUUCAAGGGUCAACAUGCAAACACAUGGGGGCAUUACUGAAACCAAUGGAUGUUACCUGGAGAAGCCAGCCUGAAAAUAUCUGGUGCAGUGGCGUUAUGAGGAGUCUUUCAUGGAGCAUGGACUACUCAUCAUCUGUGAAGCCCAGGGCAAGGUUUCUUCUCUGCCACAUACAAGACCACACUCCUUCCAAAUUAAGAAACAAAUGAAGAGAAGACUACAGAGAAUGGAAUAACAUUUAAUGGCAUUUCUUUAAUGCUAACUUUUGAGACGUAGAUGUAAUAAAUUAUGAAGAAGUAUAGUUUUUAAAUAACCU
rnacentral:lncRNA from 1 species